GAGGAUAGCAGAAGCGUUUGGGAAAACGCGCCAGAGAGGGUGAGAGCCCCGUAAGCGAAAUCCAAAGAAGGCCUAUCAGUAUCCUGAGUAGGGCGGGACACGUGAAAUCCCGUUUGAAUCCGCGAGGACCAUCUCGCAAGGCUAAAUACUAACCAGUGACCGAUAGUGAACCAGUACCGUGAGGGAAAGGUGAAAAGAACCCCGGGAGGGGAGUGAAAGAGAACCUGAAACCGUGUGCCUACAAGUAGUCAGAGCCCGUUAACGGGUAAUGGCGUGCCUUUUGUAGAAUGAACCGGCGAGUUGCGUUAGUCAGCAAGGUUAAGUCAGAAAAGACGGAGCCGCAGCGAAAGCGAGUCUGAAGAGGGCGAGCAGUUGGCUGACGCAGACCCGAAACCAAGUGACCUACCCAUGACCAGGUUGAAGGCGCGGUAAAACGCGCUGGAGGACCGAACCCACGUAAGUUGAAAAUUGCGGGGAUGAGUUGUGGGUAGCGGUGAAAUUCCAAACGAACUUGGAGAUAGCUGGUUCUCUCCGAAAUAGCUUUAGGGCUAGCCUCGCAAAGAGGAUGCUGGAGGUAGAGCUCUGUUUGGACUAGGGGCCCGUCAAGGGUUACUGAAUUCAGAUAAACUACGAAUUCCAGACAUUUAUGUGCGGGAGUCAGACUGCGAGUGAUAAGAUCCGUAGUCGAAAGGGAAACAGCCCAGAUCACCAGUUAAGGUCCCAAAAUUCAUGCUAAGUGGAAAAGGAUGUGGAGUUGCGCAGACAACUAGGACGUUGGCUCAGAAGCAGCCAUCAUUCAAAGAGUGCGUAAUAGCUCACUAGUCGAGUGACGCCGCGCCGAAAAUUUACCGGGGCUAAGCAUGAUACCGAAACUGUGGAUGUGCAUUUAUGCACGUGGUAGGAGAGCGUUCUAGCGGCGGUGAAGCAUGACUGAGAAGACAUGUGGAGCUUCUAGAAGUGAGAAUGCCGGUAUGAGUAACGAAAGACAGGUGAGAAUCCUGUCCGCCGCAAGACUAAGGUUUCCUGGGGCAGGCUCGUCCGCCCAGGGUAAGUCGGGACC
rnacentral:rRNA from 1 species